GAUGAACGCUGGCGGCGUGCCUAAUACAUGCAAGUCGAACGAACAGACGAGGCGCUUGCUCCUCUGACGUUAGGGGAGGACGGGUGAAUCACACGUGGAUCACCUACCUAUAAGACUGGGAUCACUUCGAGAAACGGGCGAUUAUCCCGGAUAAUAUAUUGAUCCGCGUGGUUGAAUAGAGAAAGACGGUUUUGCUGUCACUACUAGAUGGUUCUGCGCCGCAUUAGCUAGUUGGUAAGGUAACAGCUUACCACGGCAACGAUGCGUGUCCGACCUGCGGGGGUGAUCGGCCACACUGGAACGUGGACACGCUCCAUACGCCUACGGGAGGCAGCAGUAGGGUAUCUUCCGCAAUGGUCGAGAGCCUUACGGAGCAACGCCGCGUGUGUGAUGAAGGUCUUCGGUUCGUAAUGCUCGGUUAUGAGGUAUGAACAAAUGUGGAAGUUACUAUGCACGGCUUGACGGUACCUAAUCAGAAAGCCCCGGCUAACUACGUG
rnacentral:rRNA from 1 species